UCUCUCGUCGUCUAGUUGGUUUAUGACACGGUGCUUAUAGAGGUUUUUACAGAUUGCCCCUGUGUACGGCCCGCGUAACAGCGGAAUAGAAACGCCGUUGUCCGGGGUUCGAGUCCCCGCGGGAGAA